rnacentral:rRNA from 1 species
GACGAACGCUGGCGGCGUGCCUAAUACAUGCAAGUCGAGCGGAAUGAUGAAGAAGCUUGCUUCUUCUGAUUUUAGCGGCGGACGGGUGAGUAACACGUGGGCAACCUACCUUGUAGAUUGGGAUAACUCCGGGAAACCGGGGCUAAUACCGAAUAAUCCAUUUCGCUUCAUGGCGAGAUGUUGAAAGACGGUUUCGGCUGUCACUACGAGAUGGGCCCGCGGCGCAUUAGCUAGUUGGUAGGGUAAUGGCCUACCAAGGCGACGAUGCGUAGCCGACCUGAGAGGGUGAUCGGCCACACUGGGACUGAGACACGGCCCAGACUCCUACGGGAGGCAGCAGUAGGGAAUCUUCCACAAUGGACGAAAGUCUGAUGGAGCAACGCCGCGUGAGUGAAGAAGGUUUUCGGAUCGUAAAACUCUGUUGUAAGGGAAGAACACGUACGAGAGUAACUGCUCGUACCUUGACGGUACCUUAUUAGAAAGCCACGGCUAACUACGUG